rnacentral:rRNA from 1 species
AUUGAACGCUGGCGGCAUGCCUUACACAUGCAAGUCGAACGGUAACAGGUCUUCGGAUGCUGACGAGUGGCGAACGGGUGAGUAAUACAUCGGAACGUGCCUAGUAGUGGGGGAUAACUACUCGAAAGAGUGGCUAAUACCGCAUGAGAUCUACGGAUGAAAGCAGGGGAUCGAAAGACCUUGUGCUACUAGAGCGGCCGAUGGCAGAUUAGGUAGUUGGUGGGAUAAAAGCUUACCAAGCCGACGAUCUGUAGCUGGUCUGAGAGGACGAUCAGCCACACUGGGACUGAGACACGGCCCAGACUCCUACGGGAGGCAGCAGUGGGGAAUUUUGGACAAUGGGCGAAAGCCUGAUCCAGCAAUGCCGCGUGCAGGAUGAAGGCCUUCGGGUUGUAAACUGCUUUUGUACGGAACGAAAAGCCCUGGGUUAAUACCCUGGGGUCAUGACGGUACCGUAAGAAUAAGCACCGGCUAACUACGUGCCAGCCGCCGCAGUAAAAC